GGACCCAGGCCCCAUACGGGGGAGGGACACGCAGAAGAAGGGGGUGCCGGGAAACAGAGGUGCCCAACGGGCAGAGACACAGAGUUAGAGCGAGAGACAAAGGAACAGAGGAGAGAUAGAGAAACGCAGAGACUGGGCAAAUGGAGGGGGUGGGGGGAGACUGACUGAGAGAAGGGGGCAGAAACAGAGGAGAAAUAGAGGCUAGCAGAAGGGGCAGAAUUUAGGAGCAAAUUCGAUGGCCGGCACACAGAGGGAGAUGGGGAAGGCAGAGACCGAAGGGAACAAAGAAAGACGGGGAGAUUGAAAGAGUCGCACACCAAAAAGGUUAUGGCAAGAGGGCACCCCAGGGUCCCCUCUGUGGCCUCCACUACAGCGCAUGACCUUGGCUACCUCCUGCUCCUUCCUGGGCCUGUUUCUUCCUCUCCACAAGGGACAAGAAGCGGUUCUCUCACUAGGGCUGCUCCAUCCCCAGCCUCUCAGUGGGCCCUUACCAACUGAUGGCUGGGCAGAGAGGGUCAGCGAAUGUCCAAGGUCACCCAUCUGGGCAUUCAGGAACCCAGGCGUUCUAGCUCCCUGCCCAGAACUUAUUGUGGAGUGUCGGGUUCCGGCUGCGGUGGCUCAUCGAUCGAUCGUCCACCGCCGAGCCAGCGGCCAGGGGGGGUGGGGGGCUGCGGCUCCUCUCAGCUUCUCUGGGUGUCACAUUUCAGCCCCAGCUCAGCCCCAGAGACAGCCCUGUCUCUGAGAUCUGCUCCUUCUGUCUCUCUCGACCACAGUCCUGCCCUGCGGCUCUGGGGAUCUGGAGUCCCCCCGGAAGAGCCAGGCUGUUCUCUGUCCUGGCCCAAAGGCUCAUCGCCGAGGGCGGGUAGGGUCAGGUGUCUAGGCCCCCCAAAUCUGAGGCGCUGACCCCACUGACACGUAGCUGGGGCCAGGGGAGAACCCAGAGGGAACAGAGACGGAAACUGAGGCAUGUAGAGAAGUGAGUUAGAGAUGAGCAAGGCCCAGAGACACUGACAGCCCGGGAGACAGAGGCGGAAAAGCCUCCGAGACCCGGAGACCAGUCAGAGCCAAGGACAGGAAGUCCUGGUGGGGACCAUUAGAGAGGUUCCCCUGCAGACGUGGGGGCUGCCUCGCUCCCUCUUCCCCUUCACACUGGAGUAUUUUGAGCGGAGUGUGAAAGCAGGUGAGAAGGAAGGAGGGGCCGAGGAUGCGGGCGUUGGGGGGGGGGUCAAGGUCACAGCAGCCUCUCCCAGCCCUCGGAGCCAGUCCUGGCUACAAGAAGGACAGAGGUUAGACCCCAACAGGACUGGAGGACCAGUUGAUCCAGAGAGCCCGGAGGAGUCCCCUCGCCAGCCCUCGCCUCCCGCGGAAUCCUUCCUCAGAAGCAUCCUGAAGAAGCUCCCAGACUCGGGGCCCCCGCUCCCCCCCCCCAUCAGGAUCCCUUCUGGGCUUAACUCCCCUCAAGGACACACGGGUCCUCCCACCCCUCCCUCGGCAAUCCGCUUUAGCUCAGGAUUAAAGGGAGGGGCCGAGGGAGACAGAGAUGCACAGAGACUUGCUGGGCAGUCCGGGCCGGGGAGGUAGGCUGGGAGAGGAAGAAAGGAGGAACCCGGAGAGAUGAGACUGGGCAGGAGAUGCCGGAGGCAGAGAGGCAGGAGGGGAGGCUCCCAGCCCCGAGACCCAGACAGAUGGAGAAAGGCACACGGAACGAGAUGGGAGAGACAGAGGGAGGAGGAGGCAGAGCAAGAGGCGCAAGAGACGAGGACAGGGAGGAAGAGACAGAGACAGGGCGCGGGCACACCGGGCUGGGAGCCCCAGUGAGCGCGCUGUCCAGGGGUCCGGGGCGAUGCUACCACCCGGCGCUCACUCACCGGUGGAGGCGGCCCAGGGCGCGGCCCGCCAGCUUCCGAAACUCGUCUUGCCGGAACUCCAUGGCUCCGGCUCCUGACUCGGCCCGGCCCGGCCCGGCCCGGCCCGGCCCAGCCCCGGCCUGCGCUGCCCCCGCCCGGCUCCUGCUCGGGCUCCGGCUCCGGCUCCGGCUUCGCUGCCGGGGGAUGUGGACGCCCCUGCCCAAGCCCCAGCGGCAGGGAGGGAGGGAGGCGGGGCUGUCCAGGACUCCUCCCCCUCCCGCCCGCGCUGCCACCAGUCCCUGAGUGAGCCGAGACCGGGCCCCGCCCUAUGAGAGACCCCGGAGUUGGGCGCUGCCUUGAAAGACACCCUCCUCCGAGGUACCGAGCCCUUAAGAGACCCUGGGCCAAUUGCCCGGCCCUGGUCCUCUGAGGGAUCCCACUGUCCCUGGCACCAGGGUCAGGGUCCUGCUUGAGAGAUCUUGUCUUUGAGACCCCCCAGACUGGCCCUCGAGACCCAGUGGACCCCCAGGGGGCUGAGGCCGCCCAUUCUCCAGAAUCACCCCUCAGCGGGACCCCAGGAUCCGCUCCCCUUCUGAGGCGUAGCUCCCGGCCACCGAAGGGCCCCCGGAGAUGGAGGAGGCCGGGCGGGGCCAUUCCCUUCGGAGGUAGCGGGUGGGGCCCUUGAGGCUUCGACCUUCACUCCCCCUCCGCAGGUGCUGCUCCACCGGAGUCUGAGCCACGGCCCCCUCUCAGGCGUAAGCGCCCGAGCCUGAGAGACCCCACUCCGGGUUCAGAGGCGGUCCCGCGCUUUUGAGGGGCUCCUAGCCCGGGAAGGGUCGAGGUCCAAGGACAGCCUUGGAGGGAGUCCGGAGUCCAAGAGGAGCCUGGACACCUGAGAUCCUGUCCUCGCCCACCAAGGAGCCCUGGUUGACUCGCUCCCUCUGAGAGGGCCCACAUCGACCCGCUUCGCGCCCACUUAGGGGCCCCGGGCGCCCAGAGGACCCUGUUCCGUGGGCGAUCACAGCUUCAGGCUUCUGCUCCCCUCCUCUGUACAGACCUCGGGGUCUGACUCCCGGAGCCCAUCGCACUUACGGACCACCGAGUCAGGGUUCUAGGCCUGUUUCCUCCAGGGGCCCCGACAUCUGGCCCCUGCCUUCACGGGGACCGACCUCUCCCUGGCCCCUCCCCUCGAUUAGACUGCCCCCACACUAAAUAUAGACCUCAAGACCUCCCUAGGGGAAGCCCCGACGUCGGAAUGCCUCCCCCACCCCCGGCUAGCCCAGCGGCCUAAUGCACUUGGGGAUUAAAUAUUUAUGAGUUUGUCUGUACUUCUCGCCCUAGGAUGGGGAUGGGAGCGGGACCCGAGUGUGCGGUGGACUCCAUAGGGCAGAUCCAAGCCUUCCGGGAGCAUCCGCUCAGACCUCCCGCCCUCUGCUCCCCUGGAAUUCGCCUCUGGGUCUCUGUGCCAAGUGUCUCGGGUUCUGAAGCCGAAUCUGCCUCUGGACACUGUCUCCUCUCUCUGUGUCUCUGAAUUCCGUUCUCUCUCCGUUUGGAGCCCUUUCUCUUACAUCUCUGUCUCUGGUGCCCUCCUCGGUUUUUUCUUUCUCUAAUUGUGCUUCCCUCUGUCUCCCGCCCGUCACUUUCCCUCCUAUUUUCUCUCCCACCUCGACCUCCCCAUCUCUCCUUUGCAUACAUUUAGAGGCUGCUUAGGUGUCUCAGUGCAGAAAGCCCUAAACUCAGGAAGACCUGAGUUCAAAUGCGACCCUGGGCAAAUGGCCGCCACUCGAAUCGUCCUCAGUUUCCCCAACUGUAAAAUGAGGAUGAUUAUAGCACCUACCUCCCAGGGUUGUGAAGAGCAAAUAAGGUAAUUGUAAGCGCUUAACAAAGGCUUCCUUCCUGUCUCCCCCAUACAGCUCUCUCUCUCCCCCCCCCCCACCCCCAGGCAGUCCUCAGACUGGGAAGGAAUGUGCGUGUCCCGGACCGUCGCGGGCACAAUCCCGGGCAGGGAAGAAGGGGACACAAGCGCCACCUGGCGCUUAGGUUCGAGGGCUGAGGCGGCACGACCAGGACUGGGGUCGGUCCGCCUGGGUCCCUGAGAGGAAAGGCCUGAAGGAAAUGCCCUAAGGGGAGGAUUGGGGAAGGACGCGUGCCCAAGGUUAAGUGACUGAGGGGGAGAGAUCCCCCGAGUCCUGGCGGGGCAUGGGAUGAAGAGACGAGGAAAGAAACCCAGGCCGGAGCUCCUCCCCCCAGGUCUCCUUUCCGCGCUGACCCCCGCCAACCUGUGGCUGGCAUCUCCCGGGAGCAACUGAGAGAACUACAGUUCCCAGCAGGCCGCGGGGCCAACGCAACGGCUUUCUCCACAAGAGGCCCGGGGCGCUCCUGGGAGCUGAAGUCCCAGCAGUUGCUGAAUUCCGGCCAUCCCCGACGGACUCCGGCUUGCAGGUGUCUCGCGGCACGGCGGAAGCCCCAGCCUUCUCGAGGAAUCUGGAGUCCUCCUGGGCCCGGGAGUGGUGGACUACAAGAUACGCGGAAGGAGAAGGAAACCCAACACCGGUUGGGCGGUGUCUGGGACUGGCGCUGGGACACCUCGUCCUGAUCCUGGACUCUAGAAGCACCUCCACGGCUGCCUCGAAGAGAGGAAACUGAGGCCGACAGGCGGGAAGCGGCUUGGCCCAGGUGACCCAGCUGCCUUCGGCUCUCUGGCUCCGAAGCUCCUCCGACCCCAAACCUAUUGUUUUCUACUUUAGAUCUGCCUCUGUGGACUCCAAAGGCAAACGGGGCUAGGUUGGGGAAAGGGGGCGGGACGUCUGGGAAAAGGUCCUAAUAAUGCGAGCUGCCGCAGGCGUCGGCCGAGGUCCCCGUAGUGCUCCAGGAAGACCUUCCAGCAGGCAUGGAUGGCCUAAAGAACCUCUGGGAGGCCAGAGCUCCAGCGUUGAACGCCGUUUAUCCUCUACAGAGGGCUGGGGCCUGGGAGCUGCUCUAGGCUCCAAACUAGACACUGGAGACCCCGCCUGUGGGGGCCCCCAGCCGGCGUGUGCGCCCAGCCCGACCCCAAAGCCAGCCAUUCGUCCCCACCCGCAGGGCUUCCUCUGAGGUUUGGGUCUGGGGGGCGUGCAAGGGCGAUUAGACAGAGACCAGAACGGAUAAAGGACGCGCAAAUGC